rnacentral:rRNA from 1 species
GACGAACGCUGGCGGCGUGCUUAACACAUGCAAGUCGAACGGAAAGGCCCUGCUUUUGUGGGGUGCUCGAGUGGCGAACGGGUGAGUAACACGUGAGUAACCUGCCCUUGACUUUGGGAUAACUUCAGGAAACUGGGGCUAAUACCGGAUAGGAGCUCCUGCUGCAUGGUGGGGGUUGGAAAGUUUCGGCGGUUGGGGAUGGACUCGCGGCUUAUCAGCUUGUUGGUGGGGUAGUGGCUUACCAAGGCUUUGACGGGUAGCCGGCCUGAGAGGGUGACCGGCCACAUUGGGACUGAGAUACGGCCCAGACUCCUACGUGAGGCAGCAGGGGGGAAGAUGGCACAAUGGGCGGAAGCCUGAUGCAGCAACGCCGCGAGCGUGAUGACGUCCUUCGGGUUGUAAACCGCUUUCGCCGGUGACGAAGCGUGAGUGACGGUAAUUGGUAAAGAAGCACCGGCUAACUACGUG